ACCUGGGCUAGGAUACUGACCAGAAACCCCUUGCAAGUUAUCCCCUCCAUAUGCAGGCGCUGCACCCUGUCUGUUGUCUCCACCAUAACCAGGACCCCCUUGGUUACCUCCAGGAUAUCUCGACCCAGACGGUUGUCCAUAAGCUGGAGGUCCAGAUGGCUUCCCAUAGGAUCCAGGAGCAGGUGGUUGACCAUAAUUUCCAGGUGCAGGCGGUUGACCGUAAUUUCCAGGUGCAGGUGGUUGACCAUAAUUUCCAGGUGCAGGCGGUUGACCAUAAUUUCCAGGUGCUGAAGGGCCACCAGGCCUGAGAUCUCCUUCCUGUCCUUGCGAGAAACUCCUGCGCUCUUGUGGAUCUUGGAAACCUUGACCGGCUUCAUUUACACG
rnacentral:lncRNA from 1 species